GGAGCUGUGGCUCAGUAGUAGAGUGCUAGCCUAGCAUGCAUGAAGCCCUAGGUUCGAUUCCUCAGUACCA
rnacentral:tRNA from 1 species